rnacentral:rRNA from 1 species
AACGUAGGACGCAAGCGUUAUCCGGAGUUACUGGGCGUAAAGAGCUCGUAGGCGGUUUGGUAAGUCGGGUGUGAAAUCUCCACGCUCAACGUGGAGGGGCCACUCGAUACUGCCAUGACUCGAGUCCGGUAGAGGAGUGUGGAAUUCCCGGUGUAGCGGUGAAAUGCGCAGAUAUCGGGAGGAACGACCCGUAGCGAAGGCGGCACUCUGGGCCGGAACUGACGCUGAGGCACGAAGGCCAGGGGAGCAAACGGG